AGGAGCAGAACAUCAGAGAGCUAAUCUCUUUGAACGCUCGUCUCUUUGUUGUCUGACUGUAAUCCAGUAAAAAAGCCUCAUACGUCUAUGAACUAUAAACACUAAAGGCGCGUGUUUUUUCCCUUAUUAAGAUCCGGAACGGCAGAGCUGGAAAAAGAAAAAAGCUUGAAGCUCCCGUGCCAGCUUGCUGCCGUCUCGUGCCGCGGAGCCGUCACGAGCGCAAACGAGGCCUGCGUCCCCUUCUCAGGUGACUCCUUUGACUCCCAGGCCAGCAGGUGGAGUAAUGCUUAAGGAUACAGAAGAAUCAACCCAGAAGGGGCCUUAUUGUAACCUUAAGAAACUCACUCCAUCAGAAUUUAAUGUAUAGGUGUAUUUAAUGUAUUUAUAAUGUAUAUGCUGUUCUCCAUUCAUUGUCUGAACUACAUAUAGGCAAAAUCGAGUCAAUCUGUAACAAACAAGCUAAGCAGCCAAGAUAUAAACAUAUGAGUUUCAGGAGGUAGCAGGUGUGAAUGUUCUGCUGGUCUGGAGCCUCCACUGCAGUGCUCGCAGCAGCAAUACCACAAAGAGAUGGCUUCCAUAUUAUUUUUAUUUACUGCAUAGUGGCAAAACGUGGCGAAGUAAUGAGAAAAAUGAUAAUUGAUAAUAAUCCAGUGGCACAUUAAUUUCAUAUCCUGUGGAUUUUGCAAGGUCCUUAUUAUUUGGAACAAAUUAUUAUUAUUAUUCUCUGCGAAUAUCACUCAGGGUUCCAAAUGUCACUCAGCGCUGUGAAUGUCACUCAGCAUUCUGAACAUCACUCAGCGUCCUAAAUGUUGCUCAGUGUUCCAAAUAUCACUCAGUGUUCAGAAUGUCGCUCAGUAUUCCAAACAUCACUCGACGUUCUGAAUGUCGCU